rnacentral:rRNA from 1 species
AGGUAGUCAAGAUGAGAAUUCUAAGGUGAGCGAGCGAACUCUCGUUAAGGAACUCGGCAAAAUGACCCCGUAACUUCGGGAGAAGGGGUGCUCUUUAGGGUUAACGCCCAGAAGAGCCGCAGUGAAUAGGCCCAAGCGACUGUUUAUCAAAAACACAGGUCUCUGCUAAACCGUAAGGUGAUGUAUAGGGGCUGACGCCUGCCCGGUGCUGGAAGGUUAAGAGGAGUGGUUAGCUUCUGCGAAGCUACGAAUCGAAGCCCCAGUAAACGGCGGCCGUAACUAUAACGGUCCUAAGGUAGCGAAAUUCCUUGUCGGGUAAGUUCCGACCCGCACGAAAGGCGUAACGAUUUGGGCACUGUCUCAACGAGAGACUCGGUGAAAUCAUAGUACCUGUGAAGAUGCAGGUUACCCGCGACAGGACGGAAAGACCCCGUGGAGCUUUACUGUAGCCUGAUAUUGAAAUUCGGCACAGCUUGUACAGGAUAGGUAGGAGCCUUUGAAACGUGAGCGCUAGCUUACGUGGAGGCGCUGGUGGGAUACUACCCUAGCUGUGUUGGCUUUCUAACCCGCACCACUUAUCGUGGUGGGAGACAGUGUCAGGCGGGCAGUUUGACUGGGGCGGUCGCCUCCUAAAAGGUAACGGAGGCGCUCAAAGGUUCCCUCAGAAUGGUUGGAAAUCAUUCAUAGAGUGUAAAGGCAUAAGGGAGCUUGACUGCGAGACCUACAAGUCGAGCAGGGUCGAAAGACGGACUUAGUGAUCCGGUGGUUCCGCAUGGAAGGGCCAUCGCUCAACGGAUAAAAGCUACCCCGGGGAUAACAGGCUUAUCUCCCCCAAGAGUUCACAUCGACGGGGAGGUUUGGCACCUCGAUGUCGGCUCAUCGCAUCCUGGGGCUGUAGUCGGUCCCAAGGGUUGGGCUGUUCGCCCAUUAAAGCGGUACGCGAGCUGGGUUCAGAACGUCGUGAGACAGUUCGGUCCCUAUCCGUCGUGGGCGUAGGAAAUUUGAGAGGAGCUGUCCUUAGUACGAGAGGACCGGGAUGGACAUACCUCUGGUGUACCAGUUGUCGUGCCAACGGCAUAGCUGGGUAGCUAUGUGUGGACGGGAUAAGUGCUGAAAGCAUCUAAGCAUGAAGCCCCCCUCAAGAUGAGAUUUCCCAACUUCGGUUAUAAGAUCCCUCAAAGAUGAUGAGGUUAAUAGGUUCGA